AGGAUGAACGCUGGCGACGUGCCUAAUGCAUGUAAGUCGCACGCAGCGCCUUCGGGCGGCUGAGUGGCGCACGGCUGAGGAACGCGUGGGUAACCUGCCCUGGCGUGGGGGGACAACGGGACGAAAGUCACGCUAAGCCCGCAUACGCUCGCCCAUUUAAGGGGGCGAGGAAAGCGCGCAAGCGCGCGCCGGGAGGGGCCUGCGGCCCAUCAGGUAGUUGGUCGGGGUAACGGCCCACCAAGCCAAUGACGGGUCCCUGGUCCUGAGAGGACGACCAGGCAGACUGGACUGAGACACGGCCCAGACCUCCGUACGGGAGGCAGCAGACAAGGAAUUUGCACAAGUGGGCGCAAGCCUGGAUGACAGACGAACGUCGCGGU
rnacentral:rRNA from 1 species